ensembl:lncRNA
CAUUGGGACAGUGGCCAGGGGUGCUGACACCCUGACUCCCUUCUCCUUUUAAGGUUUAUUUGCAGAUAGUUAUGAAUACAGGAUAAACACUGUGGGCUCCAGGAGACGGGGCAGAGGUAGUGAAGGUUGUCUGAAGGCACACUCAGACACUGUCACAGAAGGUUGCGGAGAUCCGUAACGCUGAAACGUCUGCACAGAAACAGAGAGUGAGUAAAGGCAAGAACUGAUGGAAAAUGUGACAUGACUGUGGCAUGAUACAUUACCUUGGUAAUGCAAUGAUCUGGUUGUUUAGAAGCCAGCAUGAAGACCUCGUGAGGAACAGGCGAGUAAUCAGCUGAUUGUUGACAAGUGACUGAAGGACAGGAAGGUGGAGGAGCAUCCCCUAAAAAAGACAAACACACGGACAACAACACAGGCACACACCGAAAGAGGAGAGAGAGAGAAAGAAGCAGGCCAGCAAAAGGGGGCAAGGGAACCAUGACAUCUACAGAGGCCCAUUUUCAUUUGGUACAUUGUGGUACCAGAUAUCAGUUUGUGAUGUUAGAUCCCAACUUGUCAGUCAAGAAACCUUUUUCCAAAGAUAUCAGCACAAACCAAAAUCAUUGUGCGGAUGAAAAACAGUAAAUUUUAGAGAUUUGUGAUGGAUCAUCCAAUUUACUGUUUUUGUUUUGAUUAAGUCAAAUUUGUACUGUAUUUAUAACAUGUGAUUGGUCCAUACAGGAGUAAUUGUUUCUAAAACUUGGCCCAUGUAUAACUGUGUAGACAUUUCCUAAUGCAUCAUGGGUGAUUUAACGUAAAUGAUUCAUUAAAUACACAUCUGUGAAAACAUUACUGGUAAACUUUGUGUUUUAACUCUCAUGGCAAUCUCUCCCUAACAAGUCCACUUUAUUGCGUGCUCAUUGUUUUUUUCUUAUCAGUGACUCAUAGCUGUUUAACAAGUCCACUUUUACAUGCUUAUUAAUACUAAUGUGUCACGCUUAUCAGUGGCUCAUGGUUGCUUAAGGCCUAUGUCUGUACUUGACCACAGAGGCAGAGCAUCAUUCAAUCCUGCCAGCUGCCUAUCUUGGGAGCUUUUCAAGGAUGACAGACUCCACUUUCUCUGCAGCAAGACAGCUCAUAACUUUUUCACAGUGUCUCCCUGUCCUCAUACUUCUAUAUAUUCUUCUGUAAUAGAUAACUAUACACUAUCAUUGCAAUCAAGCUACACUACAGCUCAAAAGUUUGAAGUCAGUUUUCACCUGCUUUAUAACCAUGUGAUCGGUCCACACAGCAGUGAUUGUUACUAAAAAUGGGCCCAUGCAUAACUGUGUAGACAUUUCCUAAUGCAUCAUGGGUGAUUUAACAUAAAUGAUUCAUUAAACACACAUCUGUGAAAACAUUACUGAUAACCUUUUGUAAUAUUACGUUAAAGUAAAUGUAAAUUAUUAAUUAAAAGAUGACUGUUUGAAUCUGAUCACAAACUUUUGAGCAGUAGUGUGUGUUGUAUGCAUGUGUCUGUCUGUAUCUGAUCAGGAUUUUGUCAUCAGUGUCAACAAAACGCUCAUUUUUUUAGCUGUGUCUAUCAUCAAAAUUGAGUUGGAGUGUUUUAAGUCUGAUGGCAAUCUCUCCCUAACAAGUCCACUUUAUUGCGUGCUCAUUUUCUCCUAUGUGGCUCAUAGGAGUCUAACUAAUGCAUUUUAUCCAUGUUUCCUAAUGUGUCACGCUUAUCAGUGGCUCAUGGUUGCUUAAGGCCUAUGUCUGUACUUGACCACAGAGGCAGAGCAUCAUUCAAUCCUGCCAGCUGCCUAUCUUGGGAGCUUUUCAAGGAUGACAGACUCCACUUUCUCUGCAGCAAGACAGCUCAUAACUUUUUCACAGUGUCUCCCUGUCCUCAUACUUCUAUAUAUUCUUCUGUAAUAGAUAACUAUACACUAUCAUUGCAAUCAAGCUACACUACAGCUCAAAAGUUUGAAGUCAAUUUUCACCUGCUUUAUAACCAUGUGAUCGGUCCACACAGGAGUGAUUGUUACUAAAAAUUGGCCAAUGCAUAACUGUGUAGACAUUUCCUAAUGCAUCAUGGGUGAUUUAACAUAAAUGACUCAUUAAACACACAUCUGUGAAAACAUUACUGAUAACCUUUUGUAAUAUUACGUUAAAGUAAAUGUAAAUUAUUAAUUAAAAGAUGACUGUUUGAAUCUGAUCACAAACUUUUGAGCAGUAGUGUGUGUUGUAUGCAUGUGUCUGUCUGUAUCUGAUCAGGAUUUUGUCAUCAGUGUCAACAAAAUGCUCAUUUUUUUAGCUGUGUCUAUCAUCAAAAUUGAGUUGGAGUGUUUUAAGUCUGAUGGCAAUCUCUCCCUAACAAGUCCACUUUAUUGCGUGCUCAUUUUCUCCUAUUAGAGGCUCAUCAGUGUCUAACUAAUGUACUUUAUGCAUGUUUCCUAAUGUGUCACGCUUAUCAGUGGCUCAUGGUUGCUUAAGGCCUAUGUCUGUACUUGACCACAGAGGCAGAGCAUCAUUCAAUCCUGCCAGCUGCCUAUCUUGGGAGCUUUUCAAGGAUGACAGACUCCACUUUCUCUGCAGCAAGACAGCUCAUAACUUUUUCACAGUGUCUCCCUGUCCUCAUACUUCUAUAUAUUCUUCUGUAAUAGAUAACUAUACACUAUCAUUGCAAUCAAGCUACACUACAGCUCAAAAGUUUGAAGUCAGUUUUCACCUGCUUUAUAACCAUGUGAUCGGUCCACACAGGAGUGAUUGUUACUAAAAAUGGGCCCAUGCAUAACUGUGUAGACAUUUCCUAAUGCAUCAUGGGUGAUUUAACAUAAAUGAUUCAUUAAACACACAUCUGUGAAAACAUUACUGAUAACCUUUUGUAAUAUUACGUUAAAGUAAAUGUAAAUUAUUAAUUAAAAGAUGACUGUUUGAAUCUGAUCACAAACUUUUGAGCAGUAGUGUGUGUUGUAUGCAUGUGUCUGUCUGUAUCUGAUCAGGAUUUUGUCAUCAGUGUCAACAAAACGCUCAUUUUUUUAGCUGUGUCUAUCAUCAAAAUUGAGUUGGAGUGUUUUAAGUCUGAUGGCAAUCUCUCCCUAACAAGUCCACUUUAUUGCGUGCUCAUUUUCUCCUAUUAGAGGCUCAUCAGUGUCUAACUAAUGUACUUUAUGCAUGUUUCCUAAUGUGUCACGCUUAUCAGUGGCUCAUGGUUGCUUAAGGCCUAUGUCUGUACUUGACCACAGAGGCAGAGCAUCAUUCAAUCCUGCCAGCUGCCUAUCUUGGGAGCUUUUCAAGGAUGACAGACUCCACUUUCUCUGC